rnacentral:sRNA from 1 species
CUCGGCGGGAUCUCCCGGCAGGAUGGGUAAAAAGAUAAAGAAGGAAGUAGAGCCUCCUCCUAAGGAUGUGUUUGACCCAUUAAUUAUUGAAAGCAAAAAAGCAGCAACUGUGGUGUUAAUGCUUAAUUCUCCAGAAGAGGAAAUUUUGGCUAAAGCAUGUGAAGCCAUUUAUAAAUUUGCUUUAAAAGGUGAGGAAAAUAAAACAACCCUCCUUGAACUUGGAGCUGUGGAACCUUUAACUAAGCUACUCACCCAUGAAGACAAAAUUGUAAGAAGAAAUGCUACUAUGAUAUUUGGAAUCCUGGCUUCUAAUAAUGACGUUAAAAAAUUGUUAAGGGAGUUAGAUGUCAUGAAUUCUGUCAUUGCCCAGCUUGCUCCAGAAGAAGAAGUAGUUAUCCAUGAGUUUGCUAGUCUUUGUCUAGCAAACAUGUCUGCAGAGUACACCAGUAAAGUGCAAAUAUUUGAACAUGGGGGAUUAGAGCCACUCAUCAGACUACUGAGUAGCCCCGACCCGGAUGUAAAGAAGAACUCUAUGGAAUGCAUUUACAACUUGGUGCAGGUGUUAUUACAAAUGAUAAGGAGUCUCGAAUAAUGCUAAGAGACAAUCAAGGAUUGGACCAUCUUAUUAAGAUCC